AGCGAACGCUGGCGGCAGGCUUAACACAUGCAAGUCGAGCGGGCCCUUCGGGGUCAGCGGCAGACGGGUGAGUAACGCGUGGGAACGUGCCCUUCGGUUCGGAAUAACUCAGGGAAACUUGAGCUAAUACCGGAUACGCCCUUAUGGGGAAUGGUUUACUGCCGAAGGAUCGGCCCGCGUCUGAUUAGCUAGUUGGUGAGGUUAUGGCUCACCAAGGCGACGAUCAGUAGCUGGUCUGAGAGGAUGAUCAGCCACACUGGGACUGAGACACGGCCCAGACUCCUACGGGAGGCAGCAGUGGGGAAUAUUGGACAAUGGGGGCAACCCUGAUCCAGCCAUGCCGCGUGAGUGAUGACGGCCUUAGGGUUGUAAAGCUCUUUUCUCCGGGACGAUAAUGACGGUACCGGAGGAAUAAGCCCCGGCUAACUUCGUG
rnacentral:rRNA from 1 species